UUCCUUGUGUAAAACAUUGCUAUGCUGUCUCUCCUGUUUCUAGUUUUAAUGUUCGCAGGUGACAGUUUACAAGAUGACAUUACUCCAGCUUCUAAAGAACACAUCAUCGCCUUAAAGGGAGAAACAGUUUCUCUCUCCUGCACAUACAAAGUUGCUGUACAAAAUCUGCAGUGGUAUCGCCAGAAUCCAGGAUCUAAACCAGAAUUCAUCAUCAUGUUGUUUGAAUCCAACAGUGAUCCAGUGAAAUCAACUCCUCCUCAUCCUCGUGCCUCUGGUAAAGUGGACAAAGGCUCUAAACAGGUUCAUCUGAAUAUCUCAUCUGCUGAAGUCUCAGACUCUGCUGUCUACUACUGCGCUCUGAGGCCCACAGUGACAGGAACACCAGCUGCACAGAACAAAAACCUUCCCAGCUUUUAA